rnacentral:rRNA from 1 species
UACGUAGGGAGCAAGCGUUGUCCGGAAUCAUUGGGCGUAAAGCGCGCGUAGGCGGCCCGGUAAGUCCGCUGUGAAAGUCCAGGGCUCAACCCUGGAAAGCCGGUGGAUACUGCCGGGCUAGAGUCCGGAAGAGGCGAGUGGAAUUCCUGGUGUAGCGGUGGAAUGCGCAGAUAUCAGGAGGAACACCAAUAGCGAAGGCAGCUCGCUGGGACGGUACUGACGCUGAGGUGCGAAAGCGUGGGGAGCGAACAGG